AGUGAACGCUGGCGGCAGGCCUAACACAUGCAAGUCGAGCGGCAACAUUCGGGUGUCAGCGGCGGACGGGUGAGUAACGCGUGGGAACGUGCCAUCAGGUUCGGAAUAACUCAGGGAAACUUGAGCUAAUACCGGAUACUCCCUUUUGGGGAAAGGCUUGCUGCCGGAGGAUCGGCCCGCGCCUGAUUAGUUAGUUGGUGAGGUAACGGCUCACCAAGGCGACGAGCAGUAGCUGGUCUGAGAGGAUGAUCAGCCACACUGGGACUGAGACACGGUCCAGACUCCUACGGGAGGCAGCAGUGGGGAAUAUUGGACAAUGGGCGCAAGCCUGAUCCAGCCAUGCCGCGUGAGUGAUGAAGGCCGUAGGGUUGUAAAGCUCUUUUAUCCGGGACGAUAAUGACGGUACCGGAGGAAUAAGCCCCGGCUAACUUCGUG
rnacentral:rRNA from 1 species